rnacentral:rRNA from 1 species
UACGUAGGGUCCGAGCGUUGUCCGGAGUUACUGGGCGUAAAGGGCGCGUAGGCGGCCUUCUAAGUCGAACGUGAAAUCCCCGGGCUCAACCCGGGAACUGCGUCCGAUACUGGAAGGCUUGAAUCCGGGAGAGGGAUGUGGAAUUCCAGGUGUAGCGGUGAAAUGCGUAGAUAUCUGGAGGAACACCGGUGGCGAAGGCGACAUCCUGGACCGGUAUUGACGCUGAGGCGCGAAAGCCAGGGGAGCAAACGGG